UUUUUCUUUUUAUUGCAUGGAAAAACAAACAAACAAAAUGUGUGUGUGUAUUCAAAUAUUGAUUGCACAUGGUUGGUCAGAUAUAAGAAACAUUUGCUAGCUAACCAUUUCAAGCUGAUUUCUUUCAAUUAAUUAGAUAAAAAAAAUACUUGAAUCUUAACUAUAUUUCUACCAAUUCAUUUCUUUUUACGUGCCAAAAAAGAAAAAUUGAUUUGAACAAGGCUAUACCUCUUGAAUCCAGGAAAACUUAAUCGGGACUAAUUCUACAAAAUGAUUUAGCUAGUGAGUAAAACAAUUGAAAAAGCCCACUAACAGUAAUAUCACAUCCAAUCAGUUAAAAUGUUGUCUAACCAAAAUUCUCAAAUGAAAUAUCUUAAUUAAUUAUUAAUGGCUAAAAGCAUAAUAGAAUAUCGUUCGCCGUGAGACUCUUGAACAUAUAAUCAUAGUAAAUUCAUUAGUCGAACUUAAUAAAUUUUCAUGUAAGCAAAUUGUCGAACAUAACACGAAGAAAAAAC
rnacentral:lncRNA from 1 species